CGACCCCUGUUGGCCGGUAACUCUUUAAAUAUAACCGGCAAGAUUGUCCAGCCAAUCUGCCAACACGUCUACCUCAUGCACCAAUCCUGGUAGACGGUAGCGCAUUCACGCCACGCUCCGCAACACGCCCCGGGCAACUAUGUAUUUAAAACCGAACCCCUGUCGGUCAUGUGCGUGUAUAAACUCUCCAGUACAGACAACGGCUAUGCUGAGCUCAAGCACGCCCGUUGCUGACUCACCAGAUCCAAAGAUCACAUUGCACAGUGGGCUGAGGCAGAAUAUUUACCGCUGAGGAAACUGUCAUUGGUGACAUGGUCAUCACUAUCAAUGCCAUAACACUCCAGGAAAUCCAGGACAGAAUUAUGGCAGACAGUACAGUAUUUGGCAAUGCUGCCAUUGUCCUGUACAGACAUGAAGUAAGCACAAAGCGCUUAUAUACUGUCCCAUUUGAGAGGAACAGUGUACGUGUGAAAGAACUCUGAUACCAAUAUGUCCAGAUUACUUCAGAAUUACCAUGAUGGUGAUGUGGAAGAGGCACGAGGAGCUCACUAAUAAAAUCUCUAACAUCACACAGAGACUGGAC